rnacentral:rRNA from 1 species
UACAGGGGGGUGCAAGCGUUGCUCGGAAUUACUGGGCGUAAAGCGAGCGCAGGCGGCCGAUUAAGUCAGAGGUGAAAGCCCGGGGCUCAACCCCGGAAAUGCCUUUGAAACUGGUAGGCUUGAAUGCAGGAGAGGGUCGCGGAAUUCUUGGUGUAGAGGUGAAAUUCGUAGAUAUCAGGAAGAACACCAGUGGCGAAAGCGGCGACCUGGCCUGACAUUGACGCUCAUGCUCGAGAGCGUGGGGGAGCAAACAGG